rnacentral:rRNA from 2 species
GGAAGAUGUAACGGGGCUAAACCAUGCACCGAAGCUGCGGCAGCGAACGUAUCACCCAAGACAACUUUACGGAGUUGACGAUUGACGGAGCGAAGCGACGUCAAAGCGUUCAUUAAAGUCGAGUUGGCUUAGGGAUACGUUCGUUGGGUAGGGGAGCGUUCUGUAAGCCUGUGAAGGUGUGUCGUGAGGCAUGCUGGAGGUAUCAGAAGUGCGAAUGCUGACAUAAGUAACGAUAAAGCGGGUGAA